GCUCGGGCGGCAGGAACGCCAACUUAGCCGCGAUGCGACUCGGACACGGCGGGCAGCAGAAGAGCCAACACAACUCGCCGAGGGAGAAGCUGUUCAUCCUCGGGCCUUGCUCGGGCAUGGAGGGCGGCCGAUACCGGGUUGCCGACUCACCAAUAAAAAAAGAAGAAGAAGAAGAGAUGCAGGAUGGUUCUUCUUUUUGUAACCGUAUCAGAUGGCGGAUCAGCACCAAGAGAUGACCUUCAUCAGAGACCAGA